GUUUUAGCUUAGUGGUAGAGUGCUUACCUCGAAUGCAUGAGGCCCUGGGUUCCAUCCUCAGCACGACA
rnacentral:tRNA from 1 species